AUGAUUGUGGAUGCCGUGCAGG
rnacentral:miRNA from 1 species